GCCCCCGAUGCCGCAGGAGCCCUUCAUGGAGCUGGAGGAGGUGAACUGGCGGCUGCAGGUGCUCAUGGUGCCGAGGAGGGAGACAGGCCCCAACAGCCCCUGCUGGAGGCUCCACUGCUCUUCCUGGGAUCAACUGUUCCUAGAAGAGAAGCAGGACCUCUCUCACCCCACCCCCAACCUUGACUGUCACCAAAGAAGAAGCCAGAGAGGGGAGCCCCCCACUACUGUGGCCUAGGAGCUUGGAAGACAAUACUGAGACAGACACCUGUGCUGUGGGCUCCCCAAAUCUGCCAGCAAAGGACUCUCGAGGAUGGAUCAGGAAUAGAAGCUCCAGAGCCCAGGACAUAGGAACAGCUUUACUUUCCCUUUCAUUUGAUUCAGUGGAACCCAAAAGAAACUCCUUCCUCCCCCUGCUCCGAGGGGAAUCCAAAAGAUAAGGAUGGCAGGGAACCAAUGACAGAUCAGUCCAUGCACAUAAUCUUAAAAGGCACUUCUGCAGCCCCAUCCCAACCCCACGCACCAACUCCAGAGCUCUAGCAUGGAAUAUAAGCCUGAUCCCCCACACCCGUUCUCAGAACCGUGGCCUAACCUGGAGCCUGAGGCCAACCUCUCUUCCCCUGCAGUCAAGGACUCAGUGACCAAGGAGCUGCAAACAGCCCGGCCAAGCAGGGAGCAGACUUAGAGGACACCACACUCCCGUCCCCUCCCUGAUGCCAAAGAAGCGUGGUACUCAGACAUUUUAAGGGAGGGUAUUUUCUGGGUCAUCAGGGGUUAAAGGGUUGCCAGUCUUGACAGCUGAGGCCCAGAGUACCCCCCACCUCUGGACUUCUAGGCAGGCUUUGUGUGAGCAGCAUUACCUGACCCUCCCUCCAGCCUGCCCCAAAAGGAGGGGGGUAAAGGAGGAGCCCCGGGCAGGACCUCCUGUGGUUAGUGAGUCUCCCUGCACCACCCUACAUGGGGGAGCCCCGUGCCAAUACUAAAAUUAUUGUAAAUGGAUAAAAUCCAUGGGGUCAAAGAGAUCAGGAAAGUAGAUUAUAGCAAUCAAAUUUUGGAAUCUGGAAAACAAAGACAAAGAAAGCCCAGUGCUUGCCCAGAGAGAAGCCAAGAGGCAAAGCAUAUUUACACUCUGGAACUUUUUAACUCUGAAUUUUUAAGAACUCUGGAAAGUCUCUGGAAUAGGGGGCACCAGGUACCUCUGACAGUGAGGAACAAGUGAACUAGAAAUGGGAGGGUGAGCUAGAGAUCUAUAUAAAAAGCAGAGAGGCGGCCGGGCACGGUGGCUCAUGCCUGUAAUCCCAGCACUUUGGGAGACCAAGGCGGGUGGAUCAUGAGGUCAGGAGAUCGAGACCGUCUUGGCUAACACGGUGAAACCCCGUCUCUGCUAAAAAUACAAGAAAAUUAGCCAGGCGUGGUGGCGGGCGCCUGUAGUCUCAGCUAUUCGGGAGGCUGAGGCAGGAGAAUGGUGUGAACCCGGGAGACAGAGCUUGCAGUGAGCCGAGAUGGUGCUACUGCACUCCAGCCUGGGCAACAGAGCGAGACACCAUCUCGGGAAAAGAAAAAAAAAAGCAGAGGCCGCUAUAGCUCCUCUCUCCCUUCCUUGUCUGAACCCAACCACUCCACGAUUACUCCAGGAGAAACUAGAUGUUUAUGCUUGAGAAUUUCCCCAAAGGGACUCUGAAUCCUGAGACACCAAGCAGGGCCAAUAAACUGCAAUCAACUAGUAGCAGAGUAGCUGAGACUGAGACCUUCUCUGCCCCCUUCCCGCACUCAGCUUCCAGAAAGCUGGUAGCUUUUACAAUCCAGACAGGGAAUUAGAGGUAUUCCUUCUGAGGAAGACCCUCCCCAAGAAAAGUCCUACAGAUAACUGUCCCCCAACGAAACAGCCUAUUCUCCACCAGAUUACUCUAUACUGAGACCUACCAGUGGCAAGCUCCCAUGCUAUCCACACACAUAUACACAUAUUCCAAUCAGUUUCUCAGUGACUUACUCUUAAAUAUGAACAACUACCAAGGACCACCAGACAUCUGAGAAAAGCCUCUGGCAUGAAAGAUGGAGGCAAGACAAACAGCAAGAAAGGAACUGAGGAAACUGAGCUGAUGACAGAAAUAGAAGCACUGCUGGAGCCAGGACUAAUAGGCUCAAAGAGAUCAGAGAAACCAUUGCAUCUUGAAACAAGAACAAGAGACUGUUGAAAAAACAUGCAGAGCUAUGAGAGAUGAAAAAUAUAAAAGAUUAUUGUUGUUUUUAAGACAGGAUCUCACUCUGUUGCCCAGGCUAGAAUGCGAUGGUGUGAUCUCAGCUCACUGCAGCCUUGACUUCCCAGGCUCAAGUGAUUGUCCCACCUCAGCCUCCCUAGCAGCUGGGGCUACAGGCCCAGGCCACCACAUCCAGCUAAUUUUUAUAUAUUUUGUAGAGGCAGGGUCUUACCAUGUUGCCCAGGCUGGUCUUGAACUCCUGGGCUCAAGCAAUCCACCCACCUUGGCCUCCCAAAGUGCUGGGAUUACAGGCAUGAGAUGCUGUGCCCGGCCAAAUGCAGCAGAUUUUUUAAAACUCUGAAUAAUGGAGUUAGAGGUCAAAGUUAAAGAAAUUUCUCAGAAAACAGCAACAAAGAAAAAAAGACAAGACGGAAAAUAAAACAGAAUAUGUAGGAAAAAGAGCCAUUUCAGAAAGAGAGAAAAUGGAGGGAGGAAAUCAUGAAACACGAAAAUUUGCCAGAAUUGAACAACAUGAGCUCCCACAUUGGAAGUUUCUGCUAGUGUCCAGCCAGUGGAUGAAGUCACAGCUGCAUCAAUUCAACACAUGGUAUUUCAGCCUGCUGGAGAGAAAGAGAAGAACUGAAAAGCUUCUAGGGAAGAGUGUGGGAAUAGGAUAAUAAGACGUGAUCUAGAAUCAAUAUGGCAUAAGACUUCUCAACAGCAACACCAGAAGCCAAGAAACAGUGAAACUGUACCUUCAAAUGCUGAGUGCAAAUGAUUUCCAAGCUAGAAUUCCAUACCCAGCCAAACUAUCAGUCAAGAGUGAGGAUCAACUAAAGAUCUUUUUGACACAAACAGUCUAAAAAAAUUUAACCCUGAUAACUCCCUUCCCAGGAAACUACUUGAGGAUGUGCUUCACUAAAACAAAGGGAAAAAUAAAAACAGGAAGGAGGAAGACAUUGGAUCCAGAAAACAAGGAAAGCAACCCAGGAAAAAGAAGGAUUUCAGGAUGAUGGUGAAGAGAGAUUCCAGGAUCACAGCUGAGCAGGAGACCCAAACAGCACCCAGAACAGACAAGAGCAGGACAGAAGGCCCUAGGAGACACAUCUUCAUGAGGAUGAAAUUGAAGGAACACCCAGGGUUCUAAAAUACUGAGGAGAUUUAUGCUUCCAGCAGUGAAUCAGGAAACAAAUUAAUGAUCAAUACAUAGAAAGUUUAGGCAAAUUGAAAAAGAGAUAUUUAUUCCAAGGAAAUCUAAUAUAGUAUAAAAUGUAAUAUAGUAUAAUAUAUGAUUUGACUAUGAAUAACAUUUAAAUAGUCAUGAUAAUGUAAACAUUUAUUUAACAAAAAUAUGAAUAUAUUGAGAAGGUGGGAAGAAGAUAUUUUAAAAAGAAGUGGGGAGGGGCAAUGCUGUAUAACAGAUCCACAUCCUCAUCCUUCACAGCCAGAAGUCAAGCGAUUAAAAACUGAAACAGAAAAACCAAACAGUAACAAGGUAAAGCCUGUUAUUUAGAAGUAAGGAGACAAAUCCCAAAAGAAACAGCUGAAGUUGAAAAGGGGAGGCGGGAACAGAGCUGUGGUAUCCAGUCUAGGGAUGGCUUUUUCAUUAAAAAAAAAAAAAAGUCUUAUU